rnacentral:misc_RNA from 1 species
CAGGGUCUGACGACUGCCCAAACCAAACCGUGAACUCUUUUCUACUCAAGAUGCUUUGGCAGGCCGCUCGCUGGGGGAGCCCUGGACUGCCGCGAGGCGGUUGGCCUGCCGAAGGCAUACAAACCCAAAAUUACUUGAAAUAACUUUCUGAAAAAUUUAUCUCCUUCGGGAGUGAAAAUAAUCA